rnacentral:rRNA from 1 species
GACGAACGCUGGCGGCGUGCCUAACACAUGCAAGUCAACUUGACGGAAGGAGCAAUCUGACCGUAGAGUGGCGCAAGGGUGCGUAACGCGUAAGUAACUUGCCCAAGGUAAGGAAUAACGUCGAGAAAUCGGCGCUAAUACCUCAUAAUGCAGCGGAUCCGCAUGGAUAUGUUGUUAAAGGUUUACCGCCUUGGGAUAGGCUUGCGUCUGAUUAGCUAGUUGGUGUGGUAACGGCACACCAAGGCUACGAUCAGUAACUGGUCUGAGAGGAUGAUCAGUCACACUGGAACUGAGACACGGUCCAGACUCCUACGGGAGGCAGCAGUGAGGAAUAUUGGGCAAUGCUCGAAAGAGUGACCCAGCAACGCCGCGUGGAGGAUGAAGGUAUUCUAUAUCGUAAACUCCUGUGAGAGCAGACGAAAGACAGAUUAUUAAUCUGGAUGACUGUAUGCUCAGAGGAAGCCCCGGUC